rnacentral:pre_miRNA from 1 species
UCAAAGUUGGCAGUCGGCCUUCACCGUGAUCUACAGAAUGCAAUUUAAUAAAUGUCUGAGAUCAUUGUGAAAGCUGUUUGCCAUCUUUUU